GCAAAGUUCAAACAGGGAGACCGAUUUCUUUAUAGCCUUUCCUUGUCUUCUCAGACCAUCAUUCCGUGGAGGAAAAAAGUAAGAAGAAAAGCUUCUGGGAGAGGUUAAGAAACUAGCAAUUAACUUGCUCAAGAUCCAAUGGCUGGGGGCAGCAGACUUGACCCAGUGGUUAUGGCAUCCGCUUACC
rnacentral:lncRNA from 1 species